CUCCAGGGACGCAAAGUACUGGAUGGGGUGACUACAUGCCAAAAAAAAAAGCCAAAAACCUCCAAUGUCUUCAAAGGAUACUUUGUGAAUAAUGAGGAAAUAUAAUGCCACCAUCUUGGAUGUAGAGUGCUCCAGGAAAGCUGGGACUUUUGUCUAUUUUGUUUACUGCUGCAGCCUAAGGCCAUGGAAGAAUGUCUGACA